rnacentral:tRNA from 1 species
GAGUUGAGUUGGUUACAGCGUCCGACUGUUAAUCGGAAGGUCGUGAGUUCGAGCCUCACCGGGGCA